AUUGAACGCUGGCGGCAGGCCUAACACAUGCAAGUCGAGCGGAUGAAGGGAGCUUGCUCCUGGAUUCAGCGGCGGACGGGUGAGUAAUGCCUAGGAAUCUGCCUGGUAGUGGGGGAUAACGUCCGGAAACGGGCGCUAAUACCGCAUACGUCCUGAGGGAGAAAGUGGGGGAUCUUCGGACCUCACGCUAUCAGAUGAGCCUAGGUCGGAUUAGCUAGUUGGUGGGGUAAAGGCCUACCAAGGCGACGAUCCGUAACUGGUCUGAGAGGAUGAUCAGUCACACUGGAACUGGGACACGGUCCAGACUCCUACGGGAGGCAGCAGUGGGGAAUAUUGGACAAUGGGCGAAAGCCUGAUCCAGCCAUGACGCGUGUGUGAAGAAGGUCUUCGGAUUGUAAAGCACUUUAAGUUGGGAGGAAGGGCAGUAAGUUAAUACCUUGCUGUUUUGACGUUACCAACAGAAUAAGCACCGGCUAACUUCGUG
rnacentral:rRNA from 1 species